rnacentral:lncRNA from 1 species
AAUUUGCUCUUCAACUUGUUCACAGAUCUGCUCACUGACUGACUUCACUUUCUCAUUUAUGCUUACAGGAUGGUGAAAAACAUGAUGGAUUGCUUCUGCGGGAACAUCAUGUCAGGAACUACGGCUCUGGCUGUUCUGGAGAAGUUGGCUGGAGAGAAUAAGUAAUGCCCAGUCAAUAUAUUUAGUCCCACUUCACUCCUGCCGCCCUCUGAGGCCACGAACGUGAUGGAUUCUAGCGAGAGCAUGGAGAGGAACAGCUCCCUCAGAGAAAGCCUGUUCAUGACCCACCCAGGACCCAAUCACACGCCCAUACAUCACAGCCCAACAUAUUAAACUGAGACGUAUUCAGAUUCACUCGGAUCAAUAGCCGAGGCCCUCGGAGAAUGCAAAACGAACAGGUUUCAGACCAAACCAUCCAUCACAGUUCAGCGUCCCGUCAGUCGUCUCUUUCACGAUCCAUUCAGCCUGUAAUCAAAGCUCAACACUGGAGAGCGUAGUGGAUCAUUCUGUGGGUUUUAGCUGUCUUUCACAUGAUUAGUUGUUGCUGAGAAUAUUCCAUAUUUAUUGGUGGAUCUAGAGCUGCAGACAGGAUCAAGGACUGAUGAUUUAGUACCCAUCAGAAGUCCUGAUGCUUAGAUGAUGCAUGGGGUGCAGUAGUUUAGUUUGCAAGAUUGCAAGUUUUUCCUGUCAGGGCAAAGGUCUUGUUAGUGUGGACAGUAAGCGAGCGAACCCGGGGGUAUCCUGACAGAUCAUCCCCAAAGACAGUGAAAAUUGGUUUCGAGUUCAAUUCAGAGAGAAGUUUGCCGAUGUUUUCGCUGCACCCUUUGAGCAUUUGCUGGGAAAUAUAUCGGUAUCCAGCCUAGAUCUGCUCCCCUCCCUGAUAUCUGUGAUUGGGGCGAUGUGUCGGGAUGAAGUGAUCAGCAGAAAGCUGGGAAGCCGAGAAGAAUUUUGGAGGAGGUCCUUCAGUGCCGUGGGACGUUGUGCUGACUGUGAAUACAGACGCGUUCUCUAUCCCCUCCUGGGCCUGAUGAUCAACGUAUCCCAUAAUCCUGCUCCUGUCAUCCGAGAGCAUGCUGUGGAGAUCUGCAGCAGGUGUGUGGUGCUGCUGAGUGAUGCUGAUGGAGGCAUCAUCACGGUGAGUGAUGUGAUUGGUGUGGUUUUAUACAGGUAAAGGUGAUACAAAACACAGCCCUCA